rnacentral:rRNA from 1 species
GACGAACGCUGGCGGCGUGCUUAACACAUGCAAGUCGAACGAGACGAUUGAAAGCUUGCUUUCGAAAGUCGAGUGGCAAACGGGUGAGUAACGCGUAGACAACCUGCCUUUGAGAUGGGGACAACAGUUCGAAAGGACUGCUAAUACCGAAUGUUGUAUAUUUUCCACAUGGAAGAUAUAUUAAAGAUGGCCUCUAUUUAUAAGCUAUCGCUCAAAGAUGGGUCUGCGUCUGAUUAGCUGGUUGGUGGGGUAACGGCCUACCAAGGCGACGAUCAGUAGCCGGUCUGAGGGGAUGACCGGCCACAUUGGGACUGAGACACGGCCCAGACUCCUACGGGAGGCAGCAGUGGGGAAUCUUCCACAAUGGACGAAAGUCUGAUGGAGCAACGCCGCGUGAGUGAAGAAGGGUUCCGGCUCGUAAAGCUCUGUUGUCGGGGACGAAUGUGCAGUAUUUGAAUAAAGUACUGUAAUGACGGUACCUGACGAGGAAGCCACGGCUAACUACGUGCCAGCAGCCGCAGUAA